AAUAAAAUCAAAACUUCUCAUAUAAAUAGAUCAUAAUACUCGAGUCACAAUAACUACAAAAUUUGUUAUUGUAUCUUGGUCUCACAAGGACCAUAGUACCUACAAAAUUUAUUAACUAACAUAAGAAAACUGAAAGAAUAACAAUGAACUAGAAGGAAUAAAGUGUGACAUGUUAGAUCCACUUCAUCAUCAUUUUCUUCAAAAAAAUCAAGGUUGGGCAUGUAAACUUCAUGC
rnacentral:lncRNA from 1 species